rnacentral:rRNA from 1 species
UACGGGGGGGGCAAGCGUUGUUCGGAAUUACUGGGCGUAAAGGGCGCGCAGGCGGCGGCGUGGGUCCGGCGUGAAAGCCCCCGGCUCAACCGGGGAACGUCGUCGGGGACCGCGCCGCUUGAGGGCGGCAGGGGCCGGUGGAAUGCCUGGUGUAGUGGUGAAAUGCGUAGAGAUCAGGCGGAACACCCGUGGCGAAGGCGGCCGGCUGGGCCGUCCCUGACGCUGAGGCGCGAAGGCGUGGGGAGCGAACGGG